rnacentral:rRNA from 1 species
AUGAACGCUGGCGGCGUGCUUAACACAUGCAAGUCGAACGAUGAAGCCCAGCUUGCUGGGUGGAUUAGUGGCGAACGGGUGAGUAACACGUGAGUAACCUGCCCUUAACUCUGGGAUAAGCCUGGGAAACUGGGUCUAAUACCGGAUAGGAGCGUCCACCGCAUGGUGGGUGUUGGAAAGAUUUAUCGGUUUUGGAUGGACUCGCGGGCUAUCAGCUCGUUGGUGGGGUAAUGGCUGACCAAGGCGACGACGGGUAGCCGGCCUGGGAGGGUGACCGGCCACGCUGGGGCUGAGGGACGGCGCAGAGUGGUACGGGAGGCAGCGGUGGGGAAUGUUGCGGAGUGGGGGGGAGCGUGAUGCAGCGGCGGCGCGUGGGGGAUGACGGGCUUCGGGUUGUAGGGGGGUUUGGGUGGGGAAGAAGCGGGAGUGAGGGUAGCGGGAGAGGAAGCGGGGGGUAGGUACGUG